CUUAGGUUCAGAGGAGAAACCUAAUCGCAAACGAGAACGAUGAUCAUAUGUCCUUAUUAAUCUGAUUAAACCGUAACCUUCAAUUUUCUCCAACUUCAGUUCAAUCUCUGUUCUACAAAGUUACUCAAUUAUUAACCUUGACUCUUUCCGAGGGUUUUCCUAUUAAAUAUUUGGUGUAGAUUGAGUAAUUUAAAUGCGAUUAUAAAACCCAAAAUCAAAUCGAUUGAUGCAUCUUUUUUCUAAAACCCGAAAUCUAACGACAUCUUAUUUUUAGCGAAUGAUUCUCCUCCUCUCAAAUUCGCAGUAUUUUUUUUUAUGUAGUUGAGGUGAAGAAGAAGAUUGUAAUGGAGAUGGAGUGGAUGAAUAGUGACGGAUGUGGUAGUCCGUGAAGUGGAUAAGAUGUGGUAGUACCUGACCUGAAGUGGAGAAGAGGAGAUAAAAGAGGAGCAAACAGAAGAAUAAAUCAAAUGCAAAUUGUUUUGGAACGGGGCGGCAGUUGCACUUUUUGAAGGUUUGCAGGAUUGGCAGUCUUUGUUACAGCAGCAAGUUGUGGCGACAAUUUUUGGUCAGAUUUUCAUCCUCGGAGAUCAAAAUACCCAGGCAUUCCACAUGUUCAUGUUUACUCGUUUUCGGGUAUGUGCCUUAUUUUUCGUUUUCUUAUUUCAUACGUAUUUUUUUUAUUAAGUCAAUUAGUGGGUGAACUUCAUUAUCAGAAUUUACGGAACAAAGGUUUGAAAUCUUAAUUGAAGUGAAAUGGAAGUUUUUAGGAAAAAAACUCCGAAGUCCGUUAGAUGCAAAAAUUGCAGAAGUACCAGACCCUUCUAAUUAAGUUGGAUUCAAACCUGGUUCACAAAUCCUAAAGAAUGGGAGGAUGAUAUGAUUGGUUGGGUAGCAGUUUGUGGCAUUAUGACAUGGAACAUAGGGAAAUCAAGAUGUGAAGUUAUCUUCCGAGAACAAAAACAAACCCCAACGGGAUUGGUUAGAACUAUUGAGAAUGAAAUAAAAAUAGACAAGUUGGUAUUCAAGAAAACAAACAAGAAAGAUAUGGCUUCAACGAAGAAAAUGGAAAAACAACCAUGGAUACCAUGAAUCCAAUUUAAGGAGGUGAGAUAGUAGCAAGGCUGGGAUUUAUGGACAACAACUAUCAGACAGUGGCUACAUCGACGUAAAUGGCUGAGAGCUUGGCAGCAAAACAAGCAGCUCAGUUGGCAACACAAAACUACUUCAAGGUAACUCACAUUGAAGAAACAAGACGGAGGCUACAAACAAGACGCUAGCAACAACAUUAAACUAAAAGUUGGACGAUCAUCAUAAGGGAUGGUGUGAACAGAUUCCAAACGUGCUAUGGUCAUAUAGAACCACCAGGCGGGAUGCAACGGGGAUGUCACCCUUUUGUUUGACAUAUGAAGAUGAGGCAGUGCUACCUGCUGAAAUCAUCCUUCCCACCACGAGAAGAGAAGCAUGGGAUAAAGGGCUAAACUCGGAUUUGAUUCUAGCGAAAUUAGACGACCUUGAGGAAAUCAGGGAAUUCGCAUUACAACAUAUGGUAAAUUAUCAUCAGAGGUUGUCAAGGGAGUAUAACAAAAGGGUAAAACCCCGGAGCUUCGUACCUGGAGAGCUUGUGCUGCGAGAAAUACCCCCAUAUCAGAAGGGAUCAGGAGUAAAUCUAGAGUCUACGUGGGAAGGUCCUUAUAUCGUGAAAAGGGUAGUUGGAAAUGGGGCAUACGAGUUGGCGGAUUGCGAAGGAAAAGACACAGACAAAGAAGGGAACAUAAUAUACGGCGAGAUCGAGAGGCAAGACCGAAAAUUGUGUCACCCUUGGAAUCCAGUAUAUAUCAAGAAGUAUUAUCCGUGAAUGUAUGUUGUAAUGCAGAAAAGGCAAUAAACAUGUACUUGAAUGGGGUUUAUUAAUGAAAUAUCUCUUCCA